GCGAUGGGGGGAUCCAGUGCUAUUCUUAACGGGAUAGCUUUUCUUAAGUGUAAAAAGCUUUUGGAAUAAGAGCUGGGCAAUACCGGUGCCAGCCGCCGCGGU
rnacentral:rRNA from 1 species